CUUUUAAGGUGUGGACAUUUCCUUCCCCCUCCCCUCGGAGCACACUUGGAAAGCUUCAAAAAAUAGUUGGUGUCUUCGCUCUCCUUUCUGUGUUUUCCAGCUGUUCCGUAAUCUUCUGGUCACACACCGCUGUGGGACGGCAUUCCACUACUGUAAGGCUUUUCUGCUCCUGCCAUAAAUGGGACAUCAUUUAAAAGUCUUUCAGAUGGUUUCAAGAAGAGAAUAUCCCAGUUUUGUCUCGCGCUUCAUCUGGGAACCCUUUGGACUUUGGUGAUUGAAGGGUAAGUAGUGCGUUUUGGAGGACGGAUUCUUUAGAUGAUAGGGCGGGGGGGAGGAAAAGGAGAAAAGAAACCAAGAACAUAAAGCUGUGAUUCCCAUCAUUAGUCUCAGUUCUUCUUCUUCUUCUCCCUCUUUUCAUUUGUGAUGGCUGGAUAAUUAAACCUCUGUAGUAUUGUCUUCCAUCUUUCUUGCCCCACUUCCAGCAUUGGAAUAUUCCCCUAUGGGCAACUACUUAAAAAGACCCUUUUUCAGACACAUCCACAGACACGUUUUUACAUCACUAACACUUUUUUUCUUUUCUUUUUUUCCAACCAUCUUCCGUUAAUUUGUGUUCUUUGUGCAAGCAGAGCCAGGACAGACAAGAACAUACGAGUCGGAAUCUUUCACAAAGAAAUAAUGAAAGAGAGCGUGAGAAAAGUAUCCAAAUAUUCUUUUUUAACAUUCUUGUUGAAAUCCUACAGUAUUAUUAUUGUAGGAGUUAAAGCAGUUGUUAAGUUUACUGAUGGGAGCUGAGAGGCUGCAUUAAAAAAAAAAAAAAAAAAACAUCUCCUCUCUUCUGCCCUCCAGCUUUAAGGAGGCAACUCGUCAAUUACUCUGACACAAAAAGCUUUGGGCGUUAGAGAGCAGGAAGAAAACUUCCUGAAAAAUAAUAAAUAACAUCUCUGACUGCUUUCUUGCAGUCAUUAAAAGACAAUUUGAAUGUUUCUUUAUCUUUCAUACUUUUUCAUGACAAUACGAACAGAACAAAAUAGCGUAAAUUAAGAAACGUGUGUACAUUUUAAGAACGAACGGAAAAUAAAUUAGUUAUUAGUAACUAAUACUAAUGUAGAACGUUAACUAAGAAUGCCGAUGGUUAUGAUAUAACGUGCUACGCUAUAUGUCUUUAAAGGUUGACUUUUGUCCAACACAAAAUUGAAAAAGCUUGUAUCUCCAAAGUUUUCUGGAAAAUCAACAUUUUGCUUGAUAAAAGACAUUAAUCUCCAAUCUACUGUAUGUAUGUAUUUUGGAAAUUUUAAAUAUUGCUUGACAAAAACAUCUGUCUCCAAUAUAUGUAAUUUGACAACCAGAAAAACAACCAAAUUACUUUUAUUUGUCUUUCCAGACGAUGAAAAUGCACAACAUUUGUUUGAUGAAGAACUUGUACCUCCAGACGUAGUAAAGCUUUUUUUUGUUCAAAUAAAAACAACAAAAAAACACCAAGUUGUAUUAGUUGAAAAUAUCUCCAAAUAUUUUUUCAUUUUUCUGCAUGAUAAAACAUCACAUACAUUUUUAAAUGAAAAACA